rnacentral:sRNA from 1 species
ACAAGUGGCGCCCAACAGAAAAGGCAAGACCUGAGUUAUAUCGGUAUCUAAUUCCUGUCUACUGAGGCAUUACUAGUACUACAAAGUGUAACAAAAUCUCUAGAUCUAUUAAGAUUGAGAGAGUUAGCGUCAUCUAAAUCUCUAAAGCUAUGUACUAGACUCACUGGUAAACAUAAACCUUUAUUUGAAACUUAACUAAAAACAUUAUUGCUGAAUUAAUCAAUUGGAUUAACAUUUAAAUUUAGAUUUAUAUCAUUAUAAUUAUUAUGACGGUCAAUUCUCUACAUUCACCAAUGUGAAAACGUCAGGAAUUACCCACUGUAUUUGGAUGUGCUAUGAAUUUAUUG